rnacentral:lncRNA from 1 species
AAUUUGGGUUCCCCUCCAAAAUCCCAGAUUCACGCUAUCCUUGUCGUUGCUGGCAGAAAAUCAGUAAGUGUAUACAUGCUACAUGUAUGUGUAAAAAAUACUUGUGUAGUCUACUUGUUCAAAAAUAAAAACGAACAAUGAUGUUUCAACAGUUUAUCUGCUAUGAUCGGAAACAACCCUCCGAACUAGGCGAUUCGGGUACCCCGACGUUAUACAAAAUGAGACCCGAGUUUUUGCGGAUUUAUCGUGAUUUUUUUCAUAUUUUUCCCAAUUUUGUCUUCCAUCGAUACAAUGAAUUAUAUCAUACUAGACAUCUACUUCGUUUUGUGAAUAUGUAUUCGAUUCAAUCUCUAUCAUCAGUUUAAACAUUACAUCCGCGUCUGUCGAUUCUUUGAAAGUUACGGACAUCUCUAUUGGUAUGAUGAAAAAAGUUACGGACAAGUUGUUUUGAAGUUACGGACAGCCUAAGUGUUUUUUAAAAUCGUGCUGUGAUCGUUUAUUUUGUAGAAUUUAAUCACCUUUCCAGUUUAAGGGUUUCCACAAACGAUUAAUACAACUUUUAAAUUCAGUUGUUUAAUUGAUGCAUUCGUGGUAUUGUUAUUCUAUAGAAGAAAAGUAUCGAACCGACGCAAGGCGGCUCCAUCUUGGGCUGUGGGUAACUUAAGUUACCCACAGCCGUUUAAGCACAGUGAACAUGUUAAAACCCGCCGCACAUUCUGUAUAUAUGUGGCUGUCCCAAGUCAGGAGGAGCCUUU